rnacentral:tRNA from 1 species
AGCGGAAUAGUGUAAAUAGUAACAUUUUUGACUCAUGAUCAUAAGAUAAAGGUGCAAAUCCUUUUUCCGCGU